AUGCACGCUGGCGGCGUGCCUAAUACCUGCCAGUCGCGCGAACAGACGAGGAGCUUGCUCCUCUGACGUUAGCGGCGGCCGGGUGAGUAACACGUGGAUAACCUACCUAUAAGACUGGGAUAACUUCGGGAAACCGGAGCUAAUACCGGAUAAUAUAUUGAACCGCAUGGUUCAAUAGUGAAAGACGGUUUUGCUGUCACUUAUAGAUGGAUCCUCGCCGCAUUAGCUAGUUGGUAAGGUAACGGCUUACCAAGGCAACGAUGCGUAGCCGACCUGAGAGGGUGAUCGACCACACUGGAACUGGGACACGGUCCAGACUCCUACGAGAGGCAGCAGUAGGGAAUCUUCCGCAGUGAGCGAAAGCCUGACGGAGCAACGCCGCGUGAGUGAUGAAGGUCUUCGGAUCGUAAAACUCUGUUAUUAGGGAAGAACAAAUGUGUAAGUAACUAUGCACGUCUUGACGGUACCUAAUCAGAAAGCCACGGCUAACUACGUG
rnacentral:rRNA from 1 species